CUCUUGAAAUCAAGGAAGAAUGUGUGAGGGUGCCUGAAGAGCUGUGUUCCUUAUUUGAGUCCCAAUGCACAUGAAUUCUCCCCCUUUUACCUCUUCUGUGUGUCCUGGAAACCAGCAGUGUGGGCCAGGAAUAUCUCUGAGUAAGAACUGAAGCAUCUCUGCUUGUUGGGAGGAAAUGCUGUUACACAAUGCACGACAAACCAGCCAAGCCACUUUAAACAGGAUAAAUGAACGAAGGCUUCAAGUACUGAGUCAGCUUUGAAGGAUCCAGAGGGUAGCCAUGGAGCCCAACAUGAUAGGAAGCUGCCCAGGGAGGCUGGAUAUGGAGCAGAGGAAGCUCAUCCAAGCCCAUGCUGUAACAAGUGAUUUUUUCAGCUGUGUGAAGUCCUGGGCUAUGUGAUGCCAUGAUGGGAGACCUCCUGCAUGGAGAUAUGAAGCUGUGACCUCGCUGUGGAGAAGCCACCAAGGAGCUGUGGGGCAGCACAGCCCCCCAACUGGCUCUUGGCCGGGCUGGAUUCCUGGUGGGCUCUGGGUUAGCCCCCGAAGAGGUGAGACCAGCAGAGCCAGAGGCAGGUGCCUUCCCCGUUUGCAGCUGUUUUAAAAGCUCUUUGCUGUGAUCUUUGGUUCUUCUGCCAUCGUGUGGCUGCUGGAGGGAUGCUGGGUCUGCUGUGAGGGCUGGGAGUUGGUUCCCUUGGCAGUGUCAGCUGGAAAACCUCAUGCCCUCCCUUCCUUCAUCACGUCCAAGGUGACAGCACACCUCACACUGGGUGGAGCACAGCUGUGAGCCCAGGUUAUACCUGAGACCUCCAACACACACAGAAUUCACAACGUUAUCCCCCACAAUUUCAGAAAUGUGCCUGUUGAAGAGGUGUCCUUUUUUUUUCCCUCUCUGGAAAAGCUGUCCUGCUGAUGGGGCUGUGCAGGGCAUGGAGCAGCACAUCUCAACAGCUGUUCAGUGAUCCACAUCUGGCUCUGUGUCCCCUUGUGCAAGGAGACUUUCACCUUAUUGCCACCCCUCCAGGACCACUCAGUGCAUGGGCUGUACAGACACAGACCUGCCCUGAGUACACAACAGUCACUGGGGAACUGCCUGAAAAAGCUCAUUCCCACACCUAACAGCUACAACUGCAACAUAUAAACAAGAUGCAUGUCCUCCACACAUCCAUUCCCUUCAUCUCACCUCUAGGAUAUUUUUCUUGCCCAGCAGACUGAGUAGGUCCAUUUUCCUGACAGCCACCCUUUCCUGAAACAGGAAGGAAGAUACAGUGCUGCAAGCCACACAAAGAGCCACCAGUAAGUUUCUAAGCCCAAACAUUUCAGUAUUUACACACACAAGCACUAAAAACUGCUUCAGAACUUCUCCACUUAGGAAUGUGAAGGACAGAGAGGUUGCAGACCGUGACUUUGCUUAAAAGCAGCCAAACAUUUCUCUCCAAGGGCAGUGCAGCUCCAGAGCCCCUCCCCAGCAUUACACAGACAUCAGUCCACAUAUGGUGGAGGUCUUGGCAGAGCUCUUACUGCCACUGUGCUGCAGACAAAAGGCUCAGAUCACUCAGCAAGUGAAGAUCUCGGAGCGCACUUAAUUUAAAAGCUAAAUAUAGCAUCAGAAUGAUGCUUGACAGUGUUCCUUUAAUAAAAAAGUUAUUUGCCUGAAGAUUCA